UCAUGCAAGUCGAAGCGGACAGAAGGGAGCUUGCUCCCGGAUGUUAGCGGCGGACGGGUGAGUAACACGUGGGUAACCUGCCUGUAAGACUGGGAUAACUCCGGGAAACCGGAGCUAAUACCGGAUAGUUCCUUGAACCGCAUGGUUCAAGGAUGAAAGACGGUUUCGGCUGUCACUUACAGAUGGACCCGCGGCGCAUUAGCUAGUUGGUGAGGUAACGGCUCACCAAGGCGACGAUGCGUAGCCGACCUGAGAGGGUGAUCGGCCACACUGGGACUGAGACACGGCCCAGACUCCUACGGGAGGCAGCAGUAGGGAAUCUUCCGCAAUGGACGAAAGUCUGACGGAGCAACGCCGCGUGAGUGAUGAAGGUUUUCGGAUCGUAAAGCUCUGUUGUUAGGGAAGAACAAGUGCAAGAGUAACUGCUUGCACCUUGACGGUACCUAACCAGAAAGCCACGGCUAACUACGUGCCAGCAGCCGCGGUAAUACGUAGGUGGCAAGCGUUGUCCGGAAUUAUUGGGCGUAAAGGGCUCGCAGGCGGUUUCUUAAGUCUGAUGUGAAAGCCCCCGGCUCAACCGGGGAGGGUCAUUGGAAACUGGGAAACUUGAGUGCAGAAGAGGAGAGUGGAAUUCCACGUGUAGCGGUGAAAUGCGUAGAGAUGUGGAGGAACACCAGUGGCGAAGGCGACUCUCUGGUCUGUAACUGACGCUGAGGAGC
rnacentral:rRNA from 1 species